rnacentral:tRNA from 6 species
GGGUGAUUAGCUCAGUGGUAGAGCGCUUCGUUCACAUCGAAGAUGUCAGCAGUUCGAAUCUGUUAUCACCCACCA